CUUAAAGGAAUUGACGGGGACCCGCACAAGCGGUGGAUGAUGUGGAUUAAUUCGAUGCAACGCGAAAAACCUUACCUACCCUUGACAUGUCAGGAACCUGCUGAGAGGUGGGGGUGCCCGAAAGGGAACCUGAACACAGGUGCUGCAUGGCUGUCGUCAGCUCGUGUCGUGAGAUGUUGGGUUAAGUCCCGCAACGAGCGCAACCCUUGUCAUUAGUUGCUACGAAAGGGCACUCUAAUGAGACUGCCGGUGACAAACCGGAGGAAGGUGGGGGUGACGUCAAGUCCUCAUGGCCCUUAUGGGUAGGGCUUCACACGUCAUACAAUGGUGCAUACAGAGGGCUGCCAACCCGCGAGGGGGAGCUAAUCCCAGAAAGUGCAUCGUAGUCCGGAUUGUAGUCUGCAACUCGACUACAUGAAGUUGGAAUCGCUAGUAAUCGCGGAUCAGCAUGUCGCGGUGAAUACGUUCCCGGGUCUU
rnacentral:rRNA from 1 species